AAAAGAGCAAAGAGGAAGAAGCACAAACAUGUUUUUAUUUUUAAUUCAUGGUGUUUUUACCAUUAUUUCAUAUUUUUUUUUGUUAA
rnacentral:ribozyme from 14 species